AUGAACGCUGGCGGCGUGCCUAAUCCCUGCAAGUCGAGCGAACAGACGAGGAGCUUGCUCCUCUGACGUUAGCGGCGGACGGGUGAGUAACACGUGGAUAACCUACCUAUAAGACUGGGAUAACUUCGGGAAACCGGAGCUAAUACCGGAUAAUAUAUUGAACCGCAUGGUUCAAUAGUGAAAGACGGGUUUGCUGUCACUUAUAGAUGGAUCCGCGCCGCAUUAGCUAGUUGGUAAGGUAACGGCUUACCAAGGCAACGAUGCGUAGCCGACCUGAGAGGGUGAUCGGCCACACUGGAACUGAGACACGGUCCAGACUCCUACGGGAGGCAGCAGUAGGGAAUCUUCCGCAAUGGGCGAAAGCCUGACGGAGCAACGCCGCGUGAGUGAUGAAGGUCUUCGGAUCGUAAAACUCUGUUAUUAGGGAAGAACAAAUGUGUAAGUAACUAUGCACGUCUUGACGGUACCUAAUCAGAAAGCCACGGCUAACUACGUG
rnacentral:rRNA from 1 species